GACGAACCGUGCGAACGUUGUUCGGAUUCACUGGGCUUAAAGGGCGCGUAGGCGGGCUCGCCAGUCUGUGGUGAAAGCCCCCGGCUUAACCGGGGAAGUGCCGUGGAUACUGCGAGUCUUGAGGAGGGUAGGGGCAUCUGGAACGCUGGGUGGAGCGGUGAAAUGCGUUGAUAUCCAGCGGAACUUCGGUGGCGAAGGCGAGGUGCUGGACCCUUUCUGACGCUGAGGCGCGAAAGCUAGGGGAGCAAACAGG
rnacentral:rRNA from 1 species